ACUGGAGGACUACGAAGAAGGCUGAGUCUGAUGAAGCAAGACUGCUGAUAUAAAUCCUCUUAGAAAAAAGGGUUGGAGAGAACAGCCCUUAUUGGAGAAUAGCACAGGGCUGACUGUAUUACCCAACAUUC
rfam:Myotis lucifugus cont2.32228, whole genome shotgun sequence.